AGGGGUUGGAAGGUAGACGCUAUUUUUGUGAAUCGAGUCAGGUCUGGGAAGAAGCAGCUCUAACAAUGUUGUAGCGGGUUAUUUUUUCAGCCUCUCUU
rnacentral:SRP_RNA from 1 species